rnacentral:ribozyme from 1 species
AAAUACACUCGAGGGAAGUAAGAAAUUCUUAAGAAAGAAAAGAAGAAAGAAAGGAAAAGGAAGGAAGAAAAAGACAAGAAGGAGUAUGCUUCGUUUUAGUCAGUCAGUCAGUGUACCAAUGUGUGUGUGUCUUGUUGUUGUUGUUUUUAGUGAUAGUUGUACAAUAGUAGUUUUAUUUGUGAUGUGUAUAUGGUGUGUGAAGAUUCCCUUUUGCGAGAGAGAGAAAAACGUUUAUUGUUCUUUUAUUGUUUUAAUAAUGAGAAAAAUGAACACUUAUAAAUAUAGAACAAAAGU